rnacentral:rRNA from 1 species
GAGUUUGAUCCUGGCUCAGAACGUACGCUGGCGGCACGCCUAAUACAUGCAAGUCGAACGAAGUAGCAAUACUUAGUGGCAGACGGGUGAGUAACAUGUGGGUAUCUUCCCUUUGGUGAGGAAUAACACGAGGAAACUUGUGCUAAUACUUCAUAAGUCUUUACGGAGAAAGCUUUAUGCGCCAUUGGAUGAGCCUGCACUUGAUUAGUUUGUUGGUGGGGUAAUGGCCUACCAAGACAAUGAUCAAUAGCUGAUUUGAGAGGAUGAUCAGCCACAUUGGGACUGAGACACGGCCCAAACUUCUACGGAAGGCAGCAGUAGGGAAUCUUGCACAAUGGAGGAAACUCUGAUGCAGCGAUGCCGCGUGAGUGAAGAAGGCCUUUGGGUUGUAAAGCUCUUUCGUCGGGGAAGAAAAUGACUGUACCCGAAUAAGAAGGUCCGGCUAACUUCGUGCCAGCAGCCGCGGUAAUACGAAGGGACCUAGCGUAGUUCGGAAUUACUGGGCUUAAAGAGUUCGUAGGUGGUUAAAAAAGUUGGUGGUGAAAUCCCAGAGCUUAACUCUGGAACUGCCAUCAAAACUUUUUAGCUAGAGUAUGAUAGAGGAAAGUAGAAUUUCUAGUGUAGAGGUGAAAUUCGUAGAUAUUAGAAAGAAUACCAAUUGCGAAGGCAGCUUUCUGGAUCAUUACUGACACUGAGGAACGAAAGCAUGGGUAGCGAAGAGGAUUAGAUACCCUCGUAGUCCAUGCCGUAAACGAUGUGUGUUAGACGUUGGAAAUUUAUUUUCAGUGUCGCAGCGAAAGCAAUAAACACACCGCCUGGGGAGUACGACCGCAAGGUUAAAACUCAAAUGAAUUGACGGGGACCCGCACAAGUAGUGGAGCAUGUGGUUUAAUUCGAAGAUACGCGCAGAACCUUACCAACACUUGACAUGUUCGUCGCGACUCUAAGAGAUUAGAGUUUUCGGUUCGGCCGGACGAAACACAGGUGCUGCAUGGCUGUCGUCAGCUCGUGUCGUGAGAUGUUGGGUUAAGUCCCGCAACGAGCGCAACCCUUACUUUUAGUUGCCAUCAUUUAGUUGGGAACUCUGAAAGAACUGCCGGUGAUAAGCUGGAGGAAGGUGGGGAUGACGUCAAGUCCUCAUGGCCCUUAUGUGUUGGGCUACACACGUG